rnacentral:rRNA from 1 species
GAUGAACGCUGGCGGCGUGCCUAAUACAUGCAAGUCGAGCGAACAGAUGAGGAGCUUGCUCCUCUGACGUUAGCGGCGGACGGGUGAGUAACACGUGGAUAACCUACCGAUAAGACUGGGAUAACUUCGGGAAACCGGAGCUAAUACCGGAUAAUAUAUUGAACCGCAUGGUUCAAUAGUGAAAGACGGUUUUGCUGUCACUGAUAGAUGGACCCGCGCCGCAUUAGCUAGUUGGUAAGGUAACGGCUUACCAAGGCAACGAUGCGUAGCCGACCUGAGAGGGUGAUCGGCCACAAUGAAACUGAGACACGGUCCCGACUCCUACGGGAGGAGGCAGUAGGGAAUCUUCCGCAAUGGGCGAAAGCCUGCCGGUGCAACGCCGCGUGAGUGAUGAAGGUCUUCGGCUCGUAAAACUCUGUUAUUAGGGAAGAACAAAUGUGUAAGUAACUAUGCACGUCUUGACGGUACCUAAUCAGAAAGCCACGGCUAACUACGUG